rnacentral:rRNA from 1 species
AGAAUCAACGCUGGCGGCGUGCCUAACACAUGCAAGUCGAACGAGAAAGUGGAGCAAUCCAUGAGUAAAGUGGCGCACGGGUGAGCAACACGUGACUAACCUACCCUUGAGUGGGGGAUAACUGAGGGAAACCUUAGCUAAUACCGCAUAAUACCCACGGGUCAAAGGAGCAAUUCGCUCGAGGAGGGGGUCGCGGCCGAUUAGUUAGUUGGCGGGGUAAUGGCCCACCAAGACGAUGAUCGGUA